UACACUUCAUGAACAGAAGGUAAAGUUGAGUUGCGCAGGACCAUUGCGCAGGACUGUUGCGCAGUCAGUUAAGCACAGUCCACUGGCGAAAGUAGUGGGGCUGCCCAAGAGAAAGAUGGCCGCCACCAGCGAGGAAUCGAGUGUUAUGGAGCCUUCUCAGACGAAUUCCGGGCAAAAUCAGCCCGUUGAUCCUCUAAAAAUGCUCUAUCCGAUGGUAAAUGAAGAGGAAACGCCACUACCACGCUCAUGGAGUCCGAAGGACAAAUACAAUUACAUCGGCCUCUCCCAAAACAAUCUUCGUGUUCACUACAAAGGUUAUGGAAAAACUCAUAAAGAUGCAGCAAGUGUACGUACAACGCAUUGUAUACCAGCUGCUUGUGGUCUCUAUUAUUUCGAAGUGAAGAUCGUCAGUAAAGGCAGAGAUGGUUAUAUGGGAAUUGGUCUAUCUGCUCACGGAGUAAACGUGAACAGGUUGCCAGGCUGGGACAAACAUUCAUACGGAUACCACGGCGACGAUGGACACAGUUUCUGUUCUUCUGGAACUGGUCAACCAUAUGGACCCACGUUCACUACAGGAGAUGUAAUUGGUUGUGGUGUAAAUCUUGUAGAUAACACUGCCUUCUACACGAAAAAUGGACAUCAUCUUGGUAUUGCAUUCACUGAUCUUCCGCCAAAUUUAUAUCCAACGGUGGGCCUUCAAACACCAGGAGAAGUAGUUGAUGCAAACUUCGGACAAGAACCUUUUGUUUUUGACAUUGACGAUAUGCUUAACGAACUCCGUGUCAAAACAAGAUUGCAAAUCAUAAACUACCCUACACCAGAUCACGGACAGGGUCAGUGGCAAGCAGUUCUUCAUAAAAUGGUGUCAACAUAUUUAGUCCAUCACGGUUAUUGUGCUACUGCCGAGGCAUUUGCCAAUAGUACUGGUCAAGGAUUUGAAGAAGAUCUUAAUUCCAUUAAAAAUAGACAAAAAAUUUUGAAAUUGGUAUUGGCAGGCAGAAUGGGGGAAGCAAUAGAAUUAACAAGUCGACUGUAUCCAGGUCUCCUCGAACGAGAUCCAAAUCUUCUUUUUGCUCUUAAGUGUCGACAAUUUGUUGAAAUGGUGAAUGGUAGUGAUUCCGAAAUUACUCAAAAUUCCAAUAUUAAUCAAACUAGUGUUAUACAGUCUACGAAGGCUUAUACGAAAUCCUCAGUGAAUAGCAAUAUUGAGGAAAUGAAUAUGAACAACGCUAUGAAUGGUUCUACCGAACAACAAUUAGUUAAUGGACAAAUUGAAAAUGAUGUAGAUAUGGAAGAAAAUGUCAUAAAUGGCAUGAAAAAUAAUACUGAAAAUGGUUAUCAAAAUAAUGAUUUGAAUACUAAUGGAUACAAAUGUCAAAAUGGAGAAGAUGUCGACAUGGAAACCAACAAUGUUAGUCAAAUUCAACAACAAAAUGGUAAUUGUAAUAUGGAGAAUAUAUCAAAUAAGAAUAACAAGAAACAACUUUGUGGCGGUGAUAAACAGGCAAUUGAAAAGAUGUUGGAAUUUGGAAGACAAUUAUAUUCCCAAUCGAUACAUUUGCGACAACAACACGGAAAAAAUGAAAGCAAUAAAAAGAUGCUUCAAGAUGCAUUCAGCCUUCUAGCUUAUGCAAAUCCAUGGAAUUCACCAGUUGGUUGGCAACUCGAUCCUCAACAAAGGGAAACUGUUUGUGCAAGACUUAAUUCUGCCAUACUCGAAUCGAGUAAUUUACCCCGACGACCACCUUUGGAAGUGGCCGCGUCUCAUGCAAGAGAACUGGUACGAUUGAUGUCUCAUGCUGGUCUUGGGGCAUGCGGUUUCGCGGUCGUAGACAAUAUCAUUCAAUAUUGACGAUGCCUACCCCUGCUGCCACGUCUGCUUCUUCUGCCGGCUCGAGUUUGGAUGUGGAGACGGAACGUGGAGCAGAUUAUAUUUUUGCAGCAACAACUUCGCGAUAUCGCGUGCCUCUUUAGCUAGAGUUUAGCAAUUGGCUCUCUAGCUCAAUCUUACAUUGAUACACAAGAGUAUAAUAUAAUACACAUAUACAAGACCUAUCAAAAGUACUCGAUGUUACAGCAAAGAGAAUGAAAAUAAGAAUGAUUGUUAACUUCAAUGAUUAUUCAAGGAUCAUUGUAUAGACAUAAUUUCAGUUUUCUAGAGCCAAAAUAUGAAAACUGAUAUAUAAUGAAUUGAAGUAUAGAAAAAUCGAUCUUAAAGAUCAUGAAUGAUGAUAGGAAAAGGAUGAUAAAUAAUAAAAAGAGUCAAAGAAUUAGAUGGCGUUGAUAGUUAAGAAACUUAAGAAUAAUAUAAAUACACUUUCGAAGUUGGAAGUGAGAUUUUUUUGACUAUAAGAUGAUUCUGAAGGCAUUGAUAAUUGAAGAUAAAGGAAACUUAGUGAUGAGAAUGCGAAUAAACUUGAGGAGGAUAUCUACACCUGCCAAGACGACCCUUUUCUCGUUUUCUCUUUUUAGCCCUAUAAUUCAUCAUCAUUUUGAUAUUUUUCCUUCGUUCUCAUAAUUGAUCGCCAUCAAGUUUCCGAGUUGUUUUUUGCAAUGGGAUGUGCUUUUGUAUUUUCAUCUAAUUUAUGAUCAUUAGACAAUGAGAAUCUCCAGGUGGGUUUCUAAUCUCAUUCAUUUGAUUUCCUCUAUUUUGACAUUUUAUUUCAAUUUUUUGUCGUUUGAUAUCACAUUUGUUGCUCCUGUACUAUUCAAUUAAAUCUAAUUUUCUAAAAUUUUAGACUAAAUCUUUAUUAUAUCAGUUACGUCACUUAUAAAUGUUUGAUUGAAAUAUUAAUUAAAAAAUUUUAAUUCCAUUUAAUAUUCACAAAUAUUGUAUUUCUAAAUGAAUUUUAUUCUUAAUGCAUUGCCCCAUUGUUCAUUCUAUUAUUUUUAUUAAUAUUUAAUUUUUUUUUUUACGAAAUUUUUAAUAUUGUAUUUCCUUUCGCAUAACUGUUGACGACAGAGUAGCAUUCCUUUUUUAUCAAGAAAGUUUAACGAGAAAAGAGCUUCGUCAACAUAAGUACGAUUAAUUAAUUCUUCAUCGAUUAUCCUGAUAGCCUUUUUAAUCGUAUCAUCAACGAGUCGAUUUUUGUAUCAAUUGUUAGCUUUUAAUGAAAAUAAAAAAAAUAUGUAAAAAAAAAAGGAGAAAAGAAGAAAGAAAACAUAAAAGUCAUACAUAAAAAAUAAUAUACAAAUAAAAAAAGAAUAUUCUUCGAUUAUCUUUUCAUUAUUGUAAAUUAAGAUUAGAAAUGGUAUAAGAAUCACGUUUCCGGUUCGAUGAUCGUUUUAUUUUUAUCUAAUUUUCAUAACAAGAAAGAAACUAAUGCGUGAAGAAGUAAUAAUCCAAAACUUUAAAUCAUUUUCUUUUCUUUUUUUUAUUCGUUUUUUUUCUCUUCUUUAAUUGCCUUAUAAAUAUUUAUUAAUAGUUCCGAAUUGUAAUAACCGAUUAAUGAUCGUUAAGUAUUUUCGUUUCGAUUUUACUCGUCUUAGGUUCGAUUGGAUAAGUAAAAGAAAAGGAGCAAGAAAAAAAUUGUGUAUUAGUGAUAUGUACCAUGUGAUUACAAGAGAUACUUUAUAAAAAAAGAAAAAUAAAAAUAACGAAGAAAAGUAUGUUAAAUUGUCGAGCAAAAUCAAUAAAAAAAAGAAAAUAGAAAUGAAGAAAUAUAUGAUCCUGAAUGAUUGUAAGUAUCGAAAACUAUGGCAGUUAUACAGUGAAAAUUAAUAAAAGUUGUAUAAUUACAUAGAACGUUGUAAAAUAUGCGGUAUUUUAUAUAUUUCUUUUUAACAGUUAAUUUAAUUAAAAUAUUUUGUGUUAAAAUAUUAAAAAAGUAUCAGUAAUUCAAUACUUUAACAAAAAUUAUUUUUGAAUAGAAAAGAAUAAUAUUUCAGCAUUUGAUAGCAUUUUCAAAACAAUUGUUUAAUUGUAUGAAAAUAAAAUUUAAUUUAGAGUCAAUAAGUCAUUUUAAAUUUAAGUUUGCGAAAAAUUGUUGAAAAUUUUUAUACUUAACAUAAUGUUAAAACUUAGAUCUAAAUUAAAAUGGUUGUUCUCUCGAAUGCAUAGGUUGUAUACUUAAAUCGAUUAACACAAUUCAAUAAAGAUGACAUUUUAUAAUAAAAAUUAUAUAGAAUUUCUUAAUUUGUCAUUUCUUAAUUUAAUUUAUAUUUUUCGAUAUUGAAACAAAAUUAAUCAUUUCGUUAAAAUUAGAAUUGCACUAAAAUUUUUUUUAACAUUGCAAAAAGGGAAACAAAAGAUACACAUAAGGACUUUACUUAAAUCGAUAAUAAAUUUUAAUAAUUAUUAAUAAGUGAACGAAAGAAGGAUCUUUGGCUAUGAAAAGAGGGAACGAUUAUAAAAGUUUAUAUAAAAAAGAAUA